AGACCAGGAACGUGUGUUUUUUGUAAUUAAUCUUCUGAAAGGAGCCGCCAGAUGCUGGGUGCCUCUCCUAUUAAUUAAUCAAGACCCUUGUUUGUUGAGAUUGGAUAGUUUUAUGGCUCAUCUUGAGUCCGUGUUCCAGGACCCAUAGCAGAAACCUGCAAGUACACGAAAGCUAAUGAAGCUGAAGCAGAGGUCUAACUCAGUAAUGGAGUACAGUACAGAGUUCAGUUUGUUGUCACAGGAACUAGCAUGGAAUCAGGAUGCCUUGCUGGCUAUUUACUGUGCAGGGCUGAGUGAAACCCUGCU